rnacentral:rRNA from 1 species
UACAGAGGGGGCGAGCGUUGUUCGGAAUUACUGGGCGUAAAGGGCGCGUAGGCGGCCUUCUAAGUCGAACGUGAAAUCCCCGGGCUCAACCCGGGAACUGCGUCCGAUACUGGGAGGCUUGAAUCCGGGAGAGGGAUGUGGAAUUCCAGGUGUAGCGGUGAAAUGCGUAGAUAUUGGGAGGAACACCAGUGGCGAAGGCGGCUCACUGGACCGGAACUGACGCUGAGGCGCGAAAGCGUGGGGAGCAAACGGG